UACGUAGGGGGCAAGCGUUGUCCGGAUUUAUUGGGCGUAAAGAGCUCGUAGGUGGUUCAGUAAGUCGGGUGUGAAACCUCCAGGCUCAACCUGGAGACGCCACCCGAUACUGCUGUGACUAGAGUCCAGUAGGGGAGCAUGGAAUUCCUGGUGUAGCGGUGAAAUGCGCAGAUAUCAGGAGGAACACCAGUGGCGAAGGCGGUGCUCUGGGCUGUAACUGACACUGAGGCGCGAAAGCGUGGGGAGCAAACAGG
rnacentral:rRNA from 1 species